GAAUGUGGGUGAUAAGGUCCAUAUUCGAAAGGGAAACAGCCCAGACCACCAGCUAAGGUCCCAAAAUAUAUGUUAAGUGGAAAAGGAUGUGGCGUUGCCCAGACAACUAGGAUGUUGGCUUAGAAGCAGCCAUCAUUUAAAGAGUGCGUAAUAGCUCACUAGUCGAGUGACACUGCGCCGAAAAUGUACCGGGGCUAAACAUAUUACCGAAGCUGUGGAUUGUCCUUUGGACAAUGGUAGGAGAGCGUUCUAAGGGCGUUGAAGCAUGAUCGCAAGGACAUGUGGAGCGCUUAGAAGUGAGAAUGCCGGUGUGAGUAGCGAAAGACGGGUGAGAAUCCCGUCCACCGAUUGACUAAGGUUUCCAGAGGAAGGCUCGUCCGCUCUGGGUUAGUCGGGUCCUAAGCUGAGGCCGACAGGCGUAGGCGAUGGAUAACAGGUUGAUAUUCCUGUACCACCAUUAUUCGUUUUAAGCGAUGGGGGGACGCAGUAGGAUAGGCGAAGCGUGCUGUUGGAGUGCACGUCCAAGCAGUGAGAUUGAGUGUUAGGCAAAUCCGGCACUCUUAAGAUUGAGCUGUGAUGGGGAGAGGAACUUGUUCCUCGAGUCGUUGAUUUCACACUGCCGAGAAAAGCCUCUAGCUAGAAUAACGGUGCCCGUACCGCAAACCGACACAGGUAGUCAAGAUGAGAAUUCUAAGGUGAGCGAGCGAACUCUCGUUAAGGAACUCGGCAAAAUGACCCCGUAACUUCGGGAGAAGGGGUGCUCUUUGAGGUUCACGCUUCGAAGAGCCGCAGUGAAUAGGCCCAAGCGACUGUUUAUCAAAAACACAGGUCUCUGCUAAACCGUAAGGUGACGUAUAGGGGCUGACGCCUGCCCGGUGCUGGAAGGUUAAGAGGAGUGGUUAGCGCAAGCGAAGCUACGAAUCGAAGCCCCAGUAAACGGCGGCCGUAACUAUAACGGUCCUAAGGUAGCGAAAUUCCUUGUCGGGUAAGUUCCGACCCGCACGAAAGGCGUAACGAUUUGGGCACUGUCUCAACGAGAGACUCGGUGAAAUCAUAGUACCGGUGAAGAUGCCGGUUACCCGCGACAGGACGGAAAGACCCCGUGGAGCUUUACUGUAGCCUGAUAUUGAAAUUCGGUACAGUUUGUACAGGAUAGGUAGGAGCCUUAGAAGCGUGAGCGCUAGCUUACGUGGAGGCAUUGGUGGGAUACUACCCUAAUUGUAUUGGAUUUCUAACCCGCAGCACUUAUCGUGCUGGGAGACAGUGUCAGGCGGGCAGUUUGACUGGGGCGGUCGCCUCCUAAAGAGUAACGGAGGCGCUCAAAGGUUCCCUCAGAAUGGUUGGAAAUCAUUCAUAGAGUGUAAAGGCAUAAGGGAGCUUGACUGCGAGACCUACAAGUCGAGCAGGGUCGAAAGACGGACUUAGUGAUCCGGUGGUUCCGCAUGGAAGGGCCAUCGCUCAACGGAUAAAAGCUACCCCGGGGAUAACAGGCUUAUCUCCCCCAAGAGUUCACAUCGACGGGGAGGUUUGGCACCUCGAUGU
rnacentral:rRNA from 1 species